CACGUAGGGGGCGAGCGUUGUCCGGAUUUAUUGGGCGUAAAGAGCUCGUAGGCGGUUCGGCAAGUCGGGUGUGAAAUUUCGAGGCUCAACCUCGAAACGCCACUCGAUACUGCUGUGACUGGAGUCCGGUAGAGGAGUGCGGAAUUCCUGGUGUAGCGGUGAAAUGCGCAGAUAUCAGGAGAAACACCAACGGCGAAGGCAGCACUCUGGGCCGGUACUGACGCUGAGGAGCGAAAGCGUGGGGAGCAAACAGG
rnacentral:rRNA from 1 species